AGCCUUCCCGGACGAUUCUGCGCUCGCAGUCAUCGAGGCAUCGUCAUUGCCCUUCACUUCUGCGCACAAGUGCACCGACUCCACAGCGACCCCUGGACCCAAAGACUACUUAAGGCUCCGGAAAUCCUUCCCCGCUUUCAGUGGGCAUGGGAGCAGCCACUGCGAAAGCAUGGCUAACAUGUUGAUCUUCUUCGCCCCACAGGUGUGUACAUAUACUCCACUGCAUGCUAAAAAAAGUGACAAUCGUUUCUUAGUCGUGCUCCCAUGCCCACGUGAGCUGUGUAUUAUCUUGAAAGAAUGCUUAGAUGUGAGUUUGCUGUUGCUUUGUUCUGGCGACGUAGAAACUAACCCUGGCCCCCCUACUCUUCGCAGUUCCAGCGCAGACAUAGGUGAAGAACAAACUUCUGUACAUAGUGCCGCCAUACUUGAAUUAC